GAUAUGACUCUCGAUAAUGAAUAUCUUGGCUCUUUCAUCGAUGAAAAAUGUAGCAAAAUGUGAUACAUGGUAUGAAUUGUAGAAUCCCAUGAACCAUCAAGUCUUUGAAUGCAAGUUGUGCUUGAGGCCAUUCGACCAAGGGCAUGCCUGCCUGGGCAUCAUGC
rnacentral:rRNA from 1 species